CUCCUCUCCAUCCAUCCAUCCUCACAGACAGAAAAUACGCAUACGACUGAACAAGAUGAAGACAGCGAUUCUUCUCGUGCUGGUGGCAACAUUUCUGUGUGCCAAUUCCUUGCCAGGAAUAUGCACAUGCCCUUAUCUUCUGUCCCCCGUCUGUGACGCCAAUGGGAACUUCUACGACAACUCCUGUCUCAGAGACUGCCAAAGUGGGGAGGAAUCUAAUGCCUACACCCCGGACUUGGACUGGAAUAACCGGAGGUGUUUGCCUGCUUAGCUGACCUUAGCCGUCCUGAAACAUUUACAUGCAACUCACCACUCCUACCCACGUCCGUGACUAUUCCGGAACUAAACCUGUCUUUUAAUAAAGCAUUGUAAACAUUGA